GUCUAUGGCCAUGCCACCCUGAUCUCGGAAGCUAAUCAGGGUCUUAUCUCGUCUGAUCUCGGAAGGUAAGCAGGUUGGGCCUGGUUAGUACUUGGAUGGGAGACCACCUAGGAAUAUCAGGUGCUGUAGGCA
rnacentral:rRNA from 1 species